rnacentral:rRNA from 1 species
UACGGGGGGGCAAGCGUUGUUCGGAAUUACUGGGCGUAAAGGGCUCGUAGGCGGCCAACUAAGUCAGACGUGAAAUCCCCAGGCUCAACCUGGGAACUGCGUCUGAUACUGGAUGGCUUGAAUCCGGGAGAGGGAUGCAGAAUUCCAGGUGUAGCGGUGAAAUGCGUAGAUAUCUGGAGGAAUACCGGUGGCGAAGGCGGCAUCCUGGACCGGCAUUGGAC